rnacentral:rRNA from 1 species
GGAAUUUUGCGCAAUGGAGGCAACUCUGACGCAGCCACGCCGCGUGCAGGAGGACGCCCCUACGGGGUGUAAACUGCUUUUCUGCGAGAAGAAGGCCUUGCUUUGGGCAGGGUGUGACGGUACCGUAAGAAUAAGGAUCGGCUAACUACGUGCCAGCAGCCGCGGUAAUACGGAGGAUCCAAGCGUUAUCCGGAAUCAUUGGGUUUAAAGGGUCCGUAGGCGGUUUUGUAAGUCAGUGGUGAAAUCCGGCAGCUUAACUGUCGAACUGCCAUUGAUACUGCAGGACUUGAAUUACUGUGAAGUAACUAGAAUAUGUAGUGUAGCGGUGAAAUGCUUAGAUAUUACAUGGAAUACCAAUUGCGAAGGCAGGUUACUAACAUUAUAUUGACGCUGAUGGACGAAAGCGUGGGUAGCGAA